rnacentral:tRNA from 1 species
CAGAAGGUAGUUUAGUUGAGAAUACCAGCUUUGGGAGUUGGCGGUGGAGGUUCGACUCCUUCCCUUCUGA